ACACAUCAUUUUCAGGUGCUGCUGAUGCGGCCGACCGCGCAAGGGGUUGGCGACGGAGGCGGAGAAUCGGAAAGGCAGUGCAAACCUGCCACGUGCCCAACGCUGUAAGGGGGACUGGCCGCAACGAUCCACUGGAGCUCGCUCUGGGAAGGACGCGGUCGGGAGGAACCUGAGUCAGAAGACCGGCCUGAAAAUCAUACUGCGCC
rnacentral:ncRNA from 12 species